rnacentral:piRNA from 1 species
CGGACGGAAGCCUCAGGUGUGAG